rnacentral:rRNA from 1 species
UACCAUGCAAGUCGAACGAUGAACCGGUUUCGGCCGGGGAUUAGUGGCGAACGGGUGAGUAACACGUGGGCAAUCUGCCCUGCACUCUGGGAUAAGCCCGGGAAACUGGGUCUAAUACCGGAUACGACACUCCGAGGCAUCUUGGGGUGUGGAAAGUUCCGGCGGUGCAGGAUGAGCCCGCGGCCUAUCAGCUUGUUGGUGGGGUAAUGGCCUACCAAGGCGACGACGGGUAGCCGGCCUGAGAGGGUGACCGGCCACACUGGGACUGAGACACGGCCCAGACUCCUACGGGAGGCAGCAUGAACUAUUGCACAAUUGGGCGAAAGCCUGGAUGCAGGACGCCGCUGAGGGAUGACGGCCUUCGGGUUGUAAACCUCUUUCAGCAGGGAAGAAGCGAAAGUGACGGUACCUGCAGAAGAAGCACCGGCUAACUACGUGCCAGCAGCCGCGGUAAUACGUAGGGUGCGAGCGUUGUCCGGAAUUAUUGGGCGUAAAGAGCUCGUAGGCGGUUUGUCGCGUCGAUUGUGAAAGCCCGGGGCUUAACCCUGGGUCUGCAGUCGAUACGGGCAGGCUAGAGUUCGGCAGGGGAGACUGGAAUUCCUGGUGUAGCGGUGAAAUGCGCAGAUAUCAGGAGGAACACCGGUGGCGAAGGCGGGUCUCUGGGCCGAUACUGACGCUGAGGAGCGAAAGCGUGGGGAGCGAACAGGAUUAGAUACCCUGGUAGUCCACGCCGUAAACGGUGGGCACUAGGUGUGGGCAACAUUCCACGUUGUCCGUGCCGCAGCUAACGCAUUAAGUGCCCCGCCUGGGGAGUACGGCCGCAAGCUAAACUCAAGAAYUGACGGGGGCCCGCACAAGCGGCGGAGCAUGUGCUUAAUUCGACGCAACGCGAGAACCUUACCAGGCUUGACAUACAUCGGAAACGGCCAGAAUGGUCGCCCCCUYGUGGUCGGUGUACAGUGGUGCAUGCUGUCGUCAGCUCGUGUCUGAGAUGUUGGGUUAAGUCCCGACAACACGCACCCUUGUCCUUGGUUGCAGCGACCUUCGGGCUGCCGGGGACUCACGGGAGACUGCCGGGGUCAACUCGGAGGAAGGUGGGGACGACGUCAAGUCAUCAUGCCCCUUAUGUCUUGGGCUGCACACGUGCUACAAUGGCCGGUACAAUGAGCUGCGAUGCCGUGAGGUGGAGCGAAUCUCAAAAAGCCGGUCUCAGUUCGGAUUGGGGUCUGCAACUCGACCCCAUGAAGUCGGAGUCGCUAGUAAUCGCAGAUCAGCAUUGCUGCGGUGAAUACGUUCCCGGGCCUUGUACACACCGCCCGUCACGUCAUGAAAGUCGGUAACACCCGAAGCCGGUGGCCUAACCCCUUGUGGGAGGGAGCUGUCGAAGGUGGGACUGGCGAUUGGACGAAGACGUAAUCAA